CAGUUCUUAUGGCAGAUGGUCAGUUGCCUAACAGUGAGUACCCUUUGCUGUGUUUGAACUUAGCUGGUGUUCAAAGAUUAUUAAUUUUUCCUUUUAUGUUGUCAUGUUCAGGGCAGCUUAUCAAACCCACCCCAAAAAAACUGUAAUUGAGAUAAGAAAACACAAGAAUACAGUUUAAUAACAUUGGCAUCCAGAUGUCUUCAUCUCUUCAUGGAUUUUUAGUUUCUUCCAGAAGUUCAGAGAGUUCCAGUGAGUGUUUAAACCUGGUGCUUCAGUCGAACUGGCAGGCCCUGGAGGCUGAGAGGAUAUGAAAUAGGAAAUCAACCAACCUAACUCUCAUCAAGACUUAGAUACCAGAGGCUUUGGCUGCCACCAGCAUGAAGUGCAGAGUCCUGUGUAGGUCUCUGGCUGACGUUCCUGAGCACAGGUUACAGGGAAGCUUUUGAACUGAUGCAAGCUAACAGAAUUACCUAAGCAAGGUAGAAGGAAAUAAAGUAUAACAUACAGAAUGAAUCAGAGGUGGAAUCAGUAUCAGCAAUUUGGAGGCCCCUGU